CCCCUAGACGUUCUGGGCUGCACGCGCGCUACAAUAAUACGCACAGCGAGUAUCACCGAGCUCGAAAGGGCAAGGUAAACAAUAGAAAAGGUACUGUAAUGGUUAUAGAUCCUUGUAAUUAUUGAUCUUCAACGAGGAACUCCUAGUAAGUAUGUGUCAUCAUCACGCACUGAUUACGUCCCUGCCCUUUGUACACACCGCCCGUCGCUCCUACCGAUUGAGUGAGCCGAUGAAACUGCCGGAUGUGGACUAUUCAUAGUCUGCAGAAGAUAUUUGAAUCGUAGCGCUUAGAGGAAGGAGAAGUCGUAACA
rnacentral:rRNA from 1 species